rnacentral:lncRNA from 1 species
AAAGUGGCAGCCUCCUUAAAUGAAGAAUACACAUUAUCACGAGCAUCAGAUUUCUUCUUUCUCUUGUUUGAAGAUGAGGAACCCCCUUGGUCUCUAUCUCCUCGCGGAUCUGUACCAGAAACAUCCAUGUCGUCUAAAGAGACGUCAGCUUCGCAGUCAUAGAAUGUGUUUCUCUCUUCAUUCAUAUCUGUAGUACGUUCAUCCUCAGCAUGUAUUUCUUCAAGAACAUCAGCAGCUGUUUGAGCGUCUUUCCCAGUCGCCCGAUCUCUUGCGUAUAUCGUAGUAAGC